GGUUUAGGGGAAGGGGGUGGGGAGAGGAAGAGGGAAGAAGAACGAAAAAACAGGAGAGACAACACAUGGAAAGACAGAGGGAAAUUAAUCAGAGAGGAAGGUAUCUGUAGGUUAUAUCUGUCCUUGAGGCAGGGUGGUUAAAGUCCACAUGCUCCUGGGGGUGGUGUGUGUGUACUUGUGUUUUAACUGCUCUGUAGGGAAAAUUAUUCCACAUUGGAAGGAUUUAACAUCCCCCACCUUGGUUUGUGAGAUACACUCUCACUAUGUAGCCAAGGCCGUACGAAUUUGUGAUUCUUUUUACCUCAGCCUCCUGAAUGCUGGGAUUAGAGGCAUGUAUCACCAUGCCUGGCUGGAAAGAAUUCUUUCAUUGAAGCUGAGGGACAAGGGUGGUAGGCUCCAGGAUCGUGGCAUGGAAAAACGCUCAGGUGGAGCCCACACCACUUCCACUCGACCACGCUGCCUCAUCACAGCUUACAGGAAGGAUAGGCCCUCCACUCCUCACGUGGCUGUCUGGCUACAACAAAGCUUCCGGUGUGGCCUGCACACAUAGAGGGAGUACAUCUCCUCAGCCAGAAGUCUUUACAGUGGUACAGUGGAGCAGCUCUGGAAGCUGGGGUCGGGUCAGAGAAGCCAAAGGCACAGUGUGACUGAGUUCUAACAGGAUGAGUUAGAACUCUGGCUCAUGAGAGCAACAUGUUGAGCAGCCAUGUGAAGAGACAGAUGCCCAUGGAAGCACGCAGGUAUACUUAACAAGAUAUCAAUAAAAACUCAGUAAUUAUUAAUAGUCAUAAGAAGGAGCCACUAAGUUAUAAACAGAGACCACCUGCUCAGGUAAGACCAGGUAUUAUAAAGAAAACUUAAGUUUUAGAGGAUUAUAAUUCAAUCACCAGCAUCUUAGUAAGUUAUAGAUAAGGGAGAAAUCAGUAGUACCAUCUCAUUAAUUUGAUAGUCUAAGCAGACAUGUGGCAGGACUUUCCUAGGUUAAAAGUAUUGUUUUGGUUAAGAAUGGAAUGCAUGCAGCCCAAAAGACAGGGGACAGGACAGGAAGCAGAACUGAAGCUAGAACUGCCUAGCUUACUUAAGUUACAGGUCAUGAACUGCAUCAGUUAGACAGUAGAGGAAGCAACGAACAGGUAAAGGGAGAAGCUGUGGGCAGUGUUAACUGAUGACAGGGAAGAGGCCUGCACCCUCUGAAGGGGCAGCCACUGCCUGACCAAGCUCCCAUAACUUAUCUUCUGAGCAGUGCCAUGCAAUCCCAGCAUUGCAGUUCAAAGGUAUCUGUUCAUAGGAAAGACCAGGGCAUGGAAGAAAAGGACAUGGAAGUCAGAACCAAACCUGACCCUGGUGAAGACCUGAGAAGAACUGGCUGGCACUGGAGUCAGCAAACCUGACUCAAACCUACAUUUAUCCUAUCAUCAUGUGACCCUCAUCUACAAACUGAGGCAAUAGAAGUCAUGAAGAUUAUAUCAAUGGGCACAGGAGCUUAUCUAACACUUAACUACAGCAGUAAAUGUUUAAUUCAAAGGCUAUAAUUAAGUCUCAUCAAACCCAUCUUAAGACAAGGUCUUAGAAGGUCAAAUAAUUUGCUCAAAGCUAUUAAGAAAAAUAGCCUAUGCUUCAGUUACCCUCCCACUUCCGAGGCCAGUUCACACAACUAAGCAGGGUAAAUAGGAAAGGGAGUAACUGAUGAUACCCAGGAAGGCAGCUGCUAGGGAAGUGACUGGGUGAAGGCACAUGGUUUCCUGGGCAAGAGAAAGGACCUUCCUGCCAUGGGCUAUGGAAAUGAGCCCUUAAGAACAGCAACAGUAUCAGUAUCGCACAAGCAGGUGAUGAGCCAGCCCAGGCCAAGCUAUACAAUGUCCCUGGGAUAGGGGUGGUCUCUAACACUUAUUUCAAAAUGGGGAAGGAAAGCUACGAGGGAUACUGACCGUAGCCCAAGGAUAAGGUCACACAAUCGAGAACUGACUUCACCCUGAAAACAGCUUAAGCUCAAUAUAAGGACACAGAGGCAGAAGAAAGGCAAGAUGCCUAAUCCAGAGUGGGCUCUUCCUUUUCCAAUUGUUUAAAUUUAGGUACUUGUGGAAACUUAAGAGUCACCCAAAGGGAACAAAAACUGAUCUAGAACAUCCUGAGAAAGUUCAUUCAUAGCACUCAUUUUGCCAAACCUAAACAGCCCUGAGAUCCGAUCCCUAGUUAAGUCCAGAAGCUCCAUGGCAGAAAUACAGGGCUGAGGACCUGUGUCUGCACCCUGAGCAGUACAUGGCCCAGUUGGAGGUCAUGAGUCUUUUUAUUGUUGCUCUUGAAUGAGGGUCUCACUUUCGUCUAGGCUGGUCUCAAACUCUUGGCAAUCCUCCUGCCUGAACCCAUAGUACUGGACUUAGAUAAUUCACUACCACAUCUGACCCAAGUGAAGGUCUUAAAGAACUCAUUCCCAGAGUCUUCACAACUCCAUCAUAUUCCUAGUCCAGAACUCAAGAGUCCUUCUACUCAGCUCUAUUUGUGGCCCUGCUGUCAGUCAUCACAGGCACUAUGCAUGGCCAGUUCAGCGUGGCAACAGCCUUGAGCAAAGCAUCCAUCCAUGGGACCAAUAGUGUCAAUCUGGAAGCCAAAUUGAGAGGAUAGCUGGGAGUACAAGCCCUUGGCUCCUUUAGACUACGACAGAGGUGCCCAGGCCCUCUGGACUAUUCACAGAAAGAGGUCCAAGGCAUCCUUUGGCUAUAUCCCAGGACCUAAGUCCUGAGCCAGAUGGCAUCUUCUAAGAACGGGGUAUCCUCCUGA